AGAUUCCUACCGGGAGGCAGCAGUUGGGACUAUGGCACAUUGGCGCCAAGCUGAUUGCAGCCAUGCCGCGUGGUGUGAAGAACGCUUUCCGGGUGUAAAGCACUUCAGUCGUGAGAAAGGCUAGUGUAGUUAUAGCUGCAUUAUUUGACGUUAGCGACAGAAGAAGCACCGGGCUAACUCCCGUGCCAGCAGCCGCGGUAAUACGGAGGGUGCGAGCGUUAAUCGGAAUUACUGGGCGUAAAGCGCAUGCAGGUGGUUUGUUAAGUCAGAUGUGAAAGCCCGGGGCUCAACCUCGGAAUAGCAUUUGAAACUGGCAGACUAGAGUACUGUAGAGGGGGGUAGAAUUUCAGGUGUAGCGGUGAAAUGCGUAGAGAUCUGAAGGAAUACCGGUGGCGAAGGCGGCCCCCUGGACAGAUACUGACACUCAGAUGCGAAAGCGUGGGGAGCAAACAGGAUUAGAUACCCUGGUAGUCCACGCCGUAAACGAUGUCUACUUGGAGGUUGUGGCCUUGAGCCGUGGCUUUCGGAGCUAACGCGUUAAGUAGACCGCCUGGGGAGUACGGUCGCAAGAUUAAAACUCAAAUGAAUUGACGGGGGCCCGCACAAGCGGUGGAGCAUGUGGUUUAAUUCGAUGCAACGCGAAGAACCUUACCUACUCUUGACAUCCAGAGCACUUUCCAGAGAUGGAUUGGUGCCUUCGGGAACUCUGAGACAGGUGCUGCAUGGCUGUCGUCAGCUCGUGUUGUGAAAUGUUGGGUUAAGUCCCGCAACGAGCGCAACCCUUAUCCUUGUUUGCCAGCGAGUAAUGUCGGGAACUCCAGGGAGACUGCCGGUGAUAAACCGGAGGAAGGUGGGGACGACGUCAAGUCAUCAUGGCCCUUACGAGUAGGGCUACACACGUGCUACAAUGGCGCAUACAGAGGGCGGCCAACUUGCGAAAGUGAGCGAAUCCCAAAAAGUGCGUCGUAGUCCGGAUUGGAGUCUGCAACUCGACUCCAUGAAGUCGGAAUCGCUAGUAAUCGUGGAUCAGAAUGCCACGGUGAAUACGUUCCCGGGCCUUGUACACACCGCCCGUCACACCAUGGGAGUGGGCUGCAAUACGAAGUCGGUAGUAUAUCGUUACAAGGGAACCCAUGCUUAGAGUGCA
rnacentral:rRNA from 1 species